UGCAUAUAGAAAUAAAUAUAAAAUAAUUAGGUAUAACGAAGUUUUGUAUUUUCGUUUCAGUUUUAUGAUGUUUGUCAUUAUUUUGAAGUGUGAUCAUUUUGAAGAUUUUUUUGAUCGAGAUCAACCACGUGCAACUCGAUGAUAUACUGAUAGUAAGUCACCAAAAAUAAGCAUAUAGCAAAUAGUUGGCCACGAUACUCCCCGUUUUGGAUCCAUCUCAUCCAAAUGAUUCUGUAUAAACUGAACGGAAGCAGCAAAAUCAGCCUGAUUAAAUUCGUAUGGCACGUUCCAACCAAGAGGUCCGAAUUUUCUACGUUCUUGAACUACCGUAUGUAGAAACGCAACAGCAUACAGUAAAGGUGGCCACUGUGAUUGCGUACUGUAAUCCAAUGUGUCCUGCGUUACGCCUUGGACUGUAAGCAGGAUUUGGUAAUUUCGUGGUGAUGUACAACAUAAAACCGGGCAUUACAUCGCAUUCUUUGUCACCGACGAUUACUUUCUCGAUGGAACCGGAUUUAAUAAAAUUCUUUUCAAGCACAUUGUCGAG